rnacentral:rRNA from 1 species
AGAGUUUGAUCCUGGCUCAGAUUAAACGCUGGCGGCAUGCCUUACACAUGCAAGUCGAACGGCAGCACGGGGGCAACCCUGGUGGCGAGUGGCGAACGGGUGAGUAAAGCAUCGGAACGUGCCCUGGAGUGGGGGAUAACGUAGCGAAAGUUACGCUAAUACCGCAUAUUCUGUGAGCAGGAAAGCAGGGGAUCGCAAGACCUUGCGCUUUGGGAGCGGCCGAUGUCGGAUUAGCUAGUUGGUGGGGUAAAGGCCUACCAAGGCGACGAUCCGUAGCGGGUCUGAGAGGAUGAUCCGCCACACUGGGACUGAGACACGGCCCAGACUCCUACGGGAGGCAGCAGUGGGGAAUUUUGGACAAUGGGCGCAAGCCUGAUCCAGCCAUGCCGCGUGAGUGAAGAAGGCCUUCGGGUUGUAAAGCUCUUUCGGUGGGGAAGAAAUUGCACGGGUUAAUAGCCUGUGUAGAUGACGGUACCUGGAGAAGAAGCACCGGCUAACUACGUG